rnacentral:rRNA from 1 species
UAAAGCGGAGGAAGGAAUGGGCAACGGUAGGUCAGUAUGCCCCGAAUAUCCCGGGCUACACGCGAGCUACAAUGGUUGGUACAAUGGGUAUCUACCCCGAAAGGGGACGGGAAUCUCCUAAACCAAUCUUAGUUCGGAUUGAGGGCUGCAACUCGCCCUCAUGAAGCUGGAAUCCGUAGUAAUCGCGUUUCAACAGAACGCGGUGAAUACCGUCCCUGCUCCUU